rnacentral:SRP_RNA from 1 species
CUGCACCAGUUGGGGAGCUAGCGGUGCCCUGUAACCUGCAAUCCGCUACAGCAGGGAUGGAUUCCCUAUUGAGGGCAAUCAACGUGUUGCCUGUGCCUUAUAUGCGAUGUUGAACCCUUAGUCCUGCGCAAUACAGAGCUGUGAACCAUGUCAGGCGGGGAACCGAGCAGCAUUAAGCAGAAAUCUUGUAUGUGCCGCGGGUAAUCUGAGGCGGAGUCGCCAAUGUAAGGAUGUCGGAUGUUUUGAUUGUUCGAUAUCGGGUGUGCAG